rnacentral:pre_miRNA from 1 species
AUAAUACUCCCUCCGUCCGGAAUUACUUGUCAUCAAAAUGGAUGUGUCUAGAACUAAAAUACAUGUAGAUACAUCCAUUUCAAUGACAAGUAUUUUCAGAUGGAGGGAGUAGUAG